rnacentral:rRNA from 1 species
AUACGGAGGGUGCGAGCGUUAAUCGGAAUUACUGGGCGUAAAGCGCGCGUAGGCGGUUUGGUAAGUCAGAUGUGAAAGCCCUGGGCUUAACCUAGGAAUUGCAUUUGAUACUGCCAAGCUAGAGUAUGGUAGAGGGAAGUGGAAUUCCACAUGUAGCGGUGAAAUGCGUAGAGAUGUGGAGGAACACCAGUGGCGAAGGCGACUUCCUGGAUCAAUACUGACGCUGAGGUGCGAAAGCGUGGGGAGCAAACAGGAUUAGAUACCCGAGUAGUCC